CAGGCUUCUCAGUGCAUUCCCUGUCUUUUCCAGGGAGCUGCAGGCCUGGCCUGUUGGGCAACGGGGCUGUGAAACGAUGCUGCGUUGGGCAACAGAGGCGUUAAUCCAACAGUUGGGAGGUGAGGUUGUGAAAGAGCCCAGCCGGGCCCUUAGCACACACCAACAGAAGGAUAUGGAACAACCACGGAGCUGCACUUGCACCACUUCCUCCUGUGUGACAGGAUCGGGCUCGAAGAGAAAGGCCAAUUGCAACGCAGUGCUGAUCUGCAGCAGCCACGGCUCCGUCCUCAGCAAUAUGGGCAGCCAACCAAGUGCAAGGGAAGCAGUUUAUACUGAGGAAGGGUUGCCUCGCUCUCCCCUUGGGCUCCCUUUUUGGGAGGCAGAUACACAAAUCCCACAGCGUGGACGUGCAGGGUCAGCUGCCACCCGAGUCCCUGUGCUGGACCCUAUGCACCCACCAGGGACGUGGCUGGAGAACCUGGGCUCUGGGAGUGCAGACAGUGACAAAUGAGCUGGAAAGUAUUCUUCCAACAAAACUGCAUGCAGCGUGACUCAUCUGAGAGCAGACUAGCAAGGCAAGUCACCUCUCAUCUUAAAACACAGAGCACAGCUAGGUUCACCCCGUGUAUAGCCAUCCUUCUCGAGGAGCCCCAUUACUCUAUCAGCAAGGCAUGCUGUGUGUCGCACAACCACGGCACGCUAAUCCCAGCUGCCAUAGAGCAGCUGCUCAGUGUUUGCAUGUGAUUUAUGGCAACGCGUUGCAAACAUGUAUGUAUGUGUGUGUAUGUGAAAGAAUAAUACACAAGCACUGUUCUGAAUGGAAUAGAAAUUCUAAUUAUUACUACAGUAGCAGCAAAUUUAUUUCCUGCAUGUCACAAGCUAUAUGUUGUCCAAAUUUCUUCACGGUGUACAUGAAUAAUAAUAAUAAUAAAACAACAACAAACUCUAUUGAUCUUCAAAACCAACUGCAUCAUUUUUCUAAUAUGAAAAGAUCACGGAGAGAUUUCUGUACAAUGUUUCUUUGUUCCUACAGUUAACCCGGGACCAAGUGCAGAUUACAUUUGGACUACAUGGAUUCAUUUAUCUUAAUGUAAUACCAGUGAAUGUCUCUAAUUAUUUAAGAGCUUACAGGGUUUCAAACAGUAGCUCAAAUUCCCCACAUCAGGCACUUGAUUUGCUUUUUAUUCUGAAAAAUGUGAUAGCCCUUGGAAGGAAGGAAAAUGUUUUUCUGGAUAAAGAGAGGUCUGAGCUAAGACUUAGCAGGAAAUUUUCUUGAUGAGCAUCUUAUGGACUGGAUUUCACCUGCCUUAGCUCAUCCACUCAUUGCUUCGUACACUUUUGACUCUGCUCCCCCACCACAUGCUUUUUAUUUAAUGUCUAGGACAUUUUCUUCCUCGUUUUCUGGUUUUUACAGACCACGCAGAACAUGAGGCAAUACCACCAGGGACUAAGAUUGGUGCCAGACUUUUCCCAGUGGGCAAGCCAAAUGGGAAAGUGCAAUUCUGCUCUAAAAACGUGAGAAACUCUCUGUGAAGACACACGGGGGCCUAAGGCAGUGUUUGGGCCAGGCAUCCAACCACUAUUGAUGCGUAGGGAUUGCAGAUCCUUGGUGCUUGUUCCCAGCCUGCACUCAAAAGCACUGCUUCCAGAGGUGUUUGCAAACCUUCCCUGGUGCUUUGGGUGCCUGGAAUGUGCACCUCACCCCCACUGCAGAGGCUGCAGCCCAGGCUUGGAUCCUGCCCAGGUGAGCCCCAAAUCCAGGGACAAGGGAUAAAGCUCCAUGAAUUGAGCCUGAAUCUUUCAUCCUGCCAGAUGACUUACACUAACGUUAAUGGAAACUGUGUGCAGAAACCACAAGCUUAAAUCAAGAGGAUUAUGUCAAAAAAGCAGACUUUACAUUUGUAAUUCCAAAUGACAGACUGUGAGUAGUGGUUUUUUUGCUCACUGUAAAGAACCCAUCACUAUUUUCAGCUUCUUAAAGCUGACACGAUGCCCAAGCUUCAUGGGAAUCAAGUUCUGAAAUGGUUUUUGUAAUUCAAAGGAUAAAGGAAGAAAUCUCCCCAAAUGGGGUUAUGUUAAUAAGCACCUAUGUGAAAAGAGUAGUUCUCAGAGCCUUCAGCCCAAGUUUUGGCUUGGCAUCUCACUGCAGCCCCUGUGCCAAGGUGAGCGAGCUGCUGGAUAUCAUUUCCUUGUGGCGUGGUUGGGAGCGAGGUGAGCCAUGCUGCAUCAGUCUGUCCUUCCUACCCAUCCCUGAUGCUUUCCAUGGAAGAAAGCCUUUCCUGGCCCAUGGCACUUUUCAAGUUCUGUCCACUAAUUAAAAGGAAAGGAAGGCGAAAGACAAACAUCAGGAAUCUCCACUAUGAAUGGUGUUGAUUUGUCUGAGGCUGACUGAGCCUGGAGAAAUAGCUCCUGAGCUUUUGAGCAGCUAGGGAUAUAGGGCAGAUCCAGCACACCAGUCAUGCACUGAUCAAAAUGCAUUUGAAGAAUGGUGUGAAAUUUAAUGCUGUGAGCAUUGCAACAGGUUUAGAGGACAAGAACCAAACUUUUUGCCAGGAAACAGUAGCCAUCACUGACGAUCAGGGAGCAACUCAUCAUUAGGCUCUUGUCAAUGACGGACGUGUUUGCAGCUCUGGACAUCUGGAAGGGAUUUAGCAGAAAGGUCUGAUUCCUGUGCCACCGCUGCCUGAUGGAUUCAAAGGGGAUGAGGUAAAAGGAGAAAAGAAAACUGAAGAUCCUCAGGAGGUGCUUGGCUGCAGGCCAUCAUGCUGCUGGCUGCAUGGUGCUCAGAGGCUGCUCAGUCUUACAGAAAGCUGCAGAGGAACAGGCUGGUUCUGUAGAAACGUGACCUGACUUUCCAACCUGCACGGUGACUUGGCUGUCAGGUUAUCCUGGCAGAGUUUUCUCCCUGCCUGGGGUCUGGGAAGCCUUCCAACUGACCGUGCAGCAUUUGUGGCUGAGACAUGUUGUGCUCGUGCCCUUGGUUUGGUCCUGUUGGAGGUGACCUUCCUAGGCACCAUGCUGCUGUACAGCAUGUACGCUGUGAGCCACGUUUUAUAAUCCCAUGAGAUUUGGUGUGUUAUCCAGUGCACGACAUGCCUCCUUUACAUAAGGACGAGACCGAAGCAGAAUAACUGGUCUGUGUGUUUAACUUGCUUUUGGAAUAUGUCAUUGUGUGGCUCAUGUUUUUGAGAUGUUUUCUUUUAGUGCCCUCUGGGCUAAAAUAAUAAGAGUCUGUCCGGGAGUCAGAAGUCAGCCUGUUGGCUCAGACCUCGGUAGGAUUCAGAUACGAUUCCUAAUUUGGGAAUUUCCUGCUCCAAGAAGUCCCUGGAGGAGAAUGGCUGAGGAAUUCCCUGAUUCUUAUUUUAAAGUGUAAAUCACUGAGGUCCAGAGUAAGGCUAAUGAGCUGACCAAAGACACAACCCUCUGUGAAAGUAUUCCCAGCAAUAAUAUGCUGGGAGGAUCUUGGAUGACCGUUAAACAAUUUUAUUUUAUUUCAUUUUUCACUUUGGAGAAUGUUUGUUUGUUUAAAAGAGCUUUCAGGGAGUUUGACAAUUGGAAUUUUAGACAAGUCUUGAAAAUCUAGAGCAACAGUGGGUGCUGGAAAUGUCUGUCUUGCAUCCCGGCAGCUUGCUGCUCCCCGGAGCAAGACUUUGUGCUUCGUGUUCUUGGGUGUGUGUUUGCAUAUAAUCACAUCCCCUGAAUCCUUUGCUUUGCUCUCAGCUCUCCUACCUACCUGGCCUCUAGGAAAAAGAAAAAAGAAAAAAAAGUACAGUUUGGGAUUUGCAAUUAAACAACCAUGACCUCAUCCUGGGAGUUUCACAUUGCUGCGAGGAUUAGGACCAUAUGACUGGAAAGGCUGUCUGAUAAAUAUUUGUUCCUGCUCAUGGACGAAACGUCUCUCCCACAGCAGCUGGAGGAGGGAGCUCUGCUUCCUGCUGCGAUGGGGCUCUGCAGCAGCUCCCUGUGCUCCUCCUUGUGUCAAUUAACCCAUCAUCCCUCCCUUGUAUUGAAAGGACAAAGCAAACGUGUCCGCUUGCCAGCUUGAGAGUCAGAGUGAUGAGUGCAGAUGGUGCCAAAGCGUUGUGAAAAGCAGACGUAGAAGAAUUAAAAACUAAUAAUGAAGAAAUGUGUCUGUCUUGGUUGUGCUGCAACUGCCAGACUAAUCCUGCUGGCAUCCUCCCAGGUUAGAGCAUCACUUAUUCAUGUUCUUGGUAGCUGGCAAUGCCGCUUUGUAGGAGCAGUGGUGGAAACAGCUUUGGUUUUAAGCAGCUCUUUAGUUGAACUGAGGUUUUGCUUCAUUUGAAUUCCAGAUUUCCAGGCACUUGGGGCUAAUCUAAUACAAAGUCCUAUUGUAUCACACGAAGAAAUAACUUCUGUGACUCCUCCCGUCGGUGCCAGAAGCUCAGGUUCUGUUUACCUUGCACCACUAAAAUCAAGAGGUCACUUUGCCUGAGCAAGAGGGGCUGGAUUUGGCCCAAGCCAUCUUGCUUCACAACGUGCUGUCUAUCCCAUAAAAAUCUGUCUCCACUUUCACCCAGCUAUGACUAUGCCCAGCUCCUGGUGCAUGCUCAGACAUCCCCUGCCAGACCUAUUCCCACUCCUGUGUCUCGUGUAAAAAGCCACAAACCCAAGUGCACAUGGAGCAUCGGAGACGUGUGCACGCCUUGCUAGAUACGGCAGUGUGUGUCUGCCCCAGUGCCUGACUGAAACCAAUGGAAAACACUACUCUUCGUAUUCUACAGAGAAGGAACUACAUAGACCUGGCUGGUUGUAGAAGUGGUUUAUCCAGGAACACGUCUGUACGUUGAACUUGCAUAACGGAGGCAAUUAUUUUCCAUUCAGCCCUCCGAACGCAUUGCAACAUUCGUUCUCAGCAGCGAUGCAGCAUCUUUUCCUGCUGUUGAAGAUGUGAUUCAAGUGAGACAUUGCGACCUCUGCCUUCUGCCCUGAGAAACACUUCUCCCAACACUGUGGCCAACAGCCAAGCCCAGCAGAUUACAGCGCUGACAUCGGGCGUCUAUCAGACCUUAAAUCAGUCGAAGUGGGCCAGAAACAACUCGCUUUUAUCCAUUUUAAGGUCUGCAGACUGCUCUUCAAGUGGUUUUCUCUCCAGUGAUGGCACAGACUUUUCCAUGGCUUAUGCAGCAAUGCAUGGAAACGAAUACUCCCCAGAACAAUACGUCAGACCAGGAUUUCUUGGGGUUUUUCUACUUCAUUGCUGGCUUGCUGAAAACAAGAUGAUAAAUUGCGGGAUAAGGAACAAAAUGAGAACAUGUGAGAGCUAUAGAAGUGCCUUGUGGGAGCUGUUUUCUAUCUCCUUUUUCUUUUUCUUAUAUGGACAACCUGACUAAGUGACGCUGAAUUAUUCCUUGAGAGUUGGAUUGCUGCUCCUUGUGACUUCCUGCCCUAUAAUUUUACUGUAUCGUAUAUCUGCAGCAUGGGCAAGGGGAAAUAGAAAACAGAUGAGGGGAUAUCAGCUCGGCCCCACAGUGCUGUUCAGUAGUUUUGGUGGGUUUGUUUUGUGUCUGUGCCCAUCGGUGUACGUGGGAGAAACGGAGCAAUGCAGAGACCUUCUGAAACAGAUUUAUCUCAAAGCAUUUAAUGUGGGAAGACAGUUACAAGCUUACACAAUGAGGUAAGAGAGUUGUUUUGUUUAUCCCAGAGAAGAUGAAACACAUAUUUCUUCCAUCUCAGUGACACAUUAAAAGGAAACAGAGUAUGGUGUGUAAUUGCCUUUUUGGCCAACGCUCCCCAGAGCCAGGGCAGCAGGGUGCCUUGCAGUGCAUAGGGCUGCUGCUCUGCUAAAUGCCUUCGGGUAGUCAUUCAUUAAUUUGGGCAGACCUAACAAGGCAUCCAGCAAUAACUUUGGGCUUAAUGAGAAAGGAGAGCCCAAACAAACAGCCAUUCCACCUGGUUUCCUUCAUGCAGAGUUGGGUUUGGGAUGGAGCAUGGCAGCUCUGGGAGCCACUGGGUACCCAGAGGGGCUGGAAAUGCUCUGUAUGGAUGCUGCAGACUGAGGAACUGGCAGAGCUUUGUGAUGGGGAUAAAUUCAGAGGGAUUUCUUUCUCUCAGGCUCUAAAAUGGUAGUGGACUCACUGUCCUGGGAAGGGUUCAAGAAAGAUGUAGGUGUCAUACUUAGGGACAUGGUUUAAUGGGCAGUAUUGGUGAUAGAGGGACCGGGAGAUCUGAGAGGUCUUUUCCAACCUUAAUGAUUCCAUGAUCCUAUUUCUAGUACUCUAAGGCAAUGGUCCUUGGCCCUAAAUUUGACAGCCAAAGCAUGUUUCAUUUUCUCUUCUUUCUAUAAUUCUCUAUUUUCUAUUUAUUUGUUUUCUACAUUCUUCCUCCAUCACCAAACACAACUCCGAUUUUUAUUUAAUUCUCAAUUCCCACCAUAUGUCACAUCUCCCAGAGGCCAGGCAGGCUGCAGGCUGUACUGGGGUUUCCAAGACAGCCUGUGCUGCUUGCAGCUCUCUGCAUUGCUGAUCCAUGUGUUACUGCAGCAAUAGCACUGCACACACACACACAGUGCCUUUUGGACAGAGCUUUGAGACGAGCCAAAAGAUAAACCCCACCAAUUCCUUCCUGCAGCACAAGGGGUGGUGAGGAAAGCAAGAUUAGUCUCCUUCCUUUUUCAGCAGACUCCAGACACAUCAGAUGAAGCUGCCUACAAAGGGAAACAAUGAGGAUUAUGUGGUUUUAACCGGGAUUUUUUUGCAAGACUGAUGUGUGAAAGAGAGCUUGGCGUGAAGGAGCAUCUGCUGAGCCCUCAGUGAAACUCAGUGGAGAUUCAGUCUGUCCCAGGGGUGUGGGUUGUACCGUAUAUAGCUAGAACUUUUCAUUGUGGAAAUUAUCGCCUAUACUACGAUGAGGAAAGCAGAACUUUAAUACUGCAGCCUUUAAAUUCCAUGCUGUUGAUCAUAGAAUCAUUAAGGUUGGAAAAGACCACUAAGAUCACCAAGUGCAACCAUCAACCCAUCACCACUCUGCUCAUCAGUCCCGCUAAAGCUGUUACUGGGGAGGUGGAAAGGUGGCGGUUUGUUGGCCUUCCUGUGCAGCGAUGGAGCAAAGCAAAAAAUAUUUAUGCUCUGAACAAUUCGGUAAUUUCAGCCUAAAGAUUUGUUUACACAGCCAGAUCUUUAACUAAUAGAUGUUUGUGAUUGCUGUAGGUUUCUUUGCUGAGGCUUUGGGGCACGUCUUGCCAUCCCUUCUGUCAGCGGACCAGCCGUAACCCUGAAAUGCAUAGCAGUGUCUGUUUGUGUAAGUGCAAUUUUCCACGUGAUUGAUUUCAGAGUAUUUGUAUGAGUGUGCACAGAGCUCGCUGCACAUGGAUUUCAUUUCAAACUCAGCAUCUGUCUGAAAGCAGAGGUUAAAGCAAGUGCAAGGCAAAGCGCUGGCCAUUCACAAAUAGGUUUGUCACAGUCUGAUGGCCCUCUGCAUUGGCAUAGUCCUUUGAAACAGGCAGACCACUCUCAAAACGAUUCACGGGAACUAAUUGAAGGCUCAGUCAGUACAGAGAGUCCUGCUGGCACGGGGUAAUGAAUGGGGAUGCACUGAAGAGGAACCAGGAGGCAGUGGAACCGGGAGUGAGGGGCAGGGAGAAGGAAAACUGC